UACGUAGGGGGCGAGCGUUGUCCGGAUUCAUUGGGCGUAAAGCGCGUGUAGGCGGUGGUGCAUGUCGGGUGUGAAAGCCCGGGGCUUAACCCCGGGUCUGCAUUCGAUACGGGCUAGCUAGAGUGUGGCAGAGGGGGGUGGAAUUCCGCGUGUAGCAGUGAAAUGCGUAGAGAUGCGGAGGAACACCGAUGGCGAAGGCAGCCCCCUGGGCUAGCACUGACGCUCAGGCACGAAAGCGUGGGGAGCAAACAGG
rnacentral:rRNA from 1 species